UCUGUACACAUAGUAUCAUGUCAUCUGCAAAUAGUGACAGUUUUACUUCUUCCUUUCCAAUUUGGAUGGCUUUUAUUUAUUUUUUUUCCAUCUAAUUCUUAUGUUCAUUGCAGCAUUAUUUAUAAUAGCCAAGAUAUGGAAGCAAUCUAAGCAUCCAUUGAUGGGCGAGUGAGUAAAGAAGAUGUGGUAUAUACACCAAAUGAAAUAUUACUCAGCCAUAAAAAAGAAUGAAAUCUUGCCAUUUGAACAACGUGGAUGAUCACAGAGGGUAUUAUGCUGAGUGAAAUAAGGUAGACAGAAAAAGACAAAUACUAAUGAUUUCACUUAUAUGUGAAAUCUAGAAAACAAAACAAACAAAACAAAACAGAAACAGACUCAUAGAUACAGGAAACAAACUGGUGGUUACCAGAGUGGGGAUGGUUGGAGGGGGCGUGUGAAAUAGGUGAAGGGGACUAAGAGGCACAAACAUCUAGUUAUAAAAUAAAUAAGUCAUGGUGAUGUAAUGUACAGCAUAGGGAAUAUAGUCAAUAAUAUCGUAAUAACUUUGUACGGUGACAGAUGGUAACUAGACUUAUUGUGGUGAUCAUUUCAUAAUAUACGUAAAUAUUGAAUCACUGUGAUGCAGACCUGAAACUAAUAUGAUAUUGUACGUUGAUUAUCCUUCAAUUAAAAAAAAAAAAAAAAGCUUUACAAAUACUCAGUUAAACCUCAUGGAUCCUAUGAGAAAAGAAUUAUUAUUACCAUCAAGGCUAGGUUACAGCUGAGGAAACUGAGACACAAUUUCUUACUCGAGAAACUUACCAAGGUCACACAGCUGCUCAGUGCCAAGAGUUUCAGUUUAAACCCACGAAGGCUGGCCCCAGAGGUCAUGCCCUUAACCACCACACUACUCUUCAGAAAUCAGCAAUCUGAUGAGCAUUUAGCUUCCAACGUAGGCCUUUGCCAGUUUUAUUCCAAAUUCGGGGACAGAUUAUGGAACCAGUCCUUAAAGGACAGAGACCCUGAGCUCAGCAGCAAACAAUGCCCUCAGGUAAAAGUAAUGAGGCACAGUUCUCCCUGGGGAAACACAGUUAAGAAAAUAUGGCAUCAUUUUCCUCCAAGAACAUCUUUUCUGCCCGUCUCCUCCUUGUCAGUCUUCCCAUCAGGAAAAUGGGCAUGCACAAUAUGCACCCAUGGCAAUAGACACAAGACCUAAUUAGCACCUGAAAUGUAUGUCAAGAUCCUCUGCUAGAGGUGCUGUAAUGAGGGCAAAGUAUUCUCACAUAAAUUCCAGUUUUGUAUCCUGUGGCCCGUUCCUCUCCCGGCAGGAGGUGGUGCCCUGUCUUGUUGAGAUCUGAUCUCUUAAAUGCAACCACGUGUCUUCUUUCAUCCAAAUGACUGUGCUCAUCUCAGGAACAGCCUUUAAUUUUCUUCUUGGAACUGAGGACCAUCCUUACUUACAGCAACAAAGGUCCGUAGGAUGGUGAAGUAAGAUUUGAAUUAAGAUACCUUGGCAUAUUUCACUUCACAGCAAUUAACGGGCAACAGGUUUUUAGCAGCACCCACUUUCUUAAGUGCAGUUACUCUUUGCCUCAAGAAUCCCUGUCUAUCAUGUUAUCAAGUGGUCCUGAUUAAGCAGCUCCCGGCGGCUGCCUCUCUGCAAGGUGAUAAACCAAGUGGAAGUCACAGUUGGGACCUCUCCGCUCUGAGGGCCCAGCCUGAUGGAGAAGCCAUGUGGUUAUCAGGACUCAGUCUGCAUCGCUGACAUCAAAUAUGGCCAAGGCUGCAUGAUUCGGAAAGGUCUGGCUAUCUAGUUGGCCCAUUUUCCAGUUUCUUCCUUACUCUCACCUGCCUUUGGGCCACUGUUGUUCAUUAGCAUCUCUCUUGUGAGAAGAGAGAAAAGGAAAGAAGAGCCAACUUUCGCUUGUCUGUUUGGCUCCUUGUCAGCAACCCUGGUAAGUAUGUAAUCUGAUGGAACCAUGGUCCAAGACGAGAAUUUGGACUCUUUGUCUCUCUCUGCCCCUUGCCAGGCAUGUGAACUCCUGUUAAGGCUUCAAGUCCCAGCCUUCCUAAGGGCCUCCAGGCAAAGUCAGAAGUGAACCACUCCCCACCUGGCUCCCGGAGCCCCUCUCCAGGACGGAGAACACUCAUCACAUUGUGUAGUAAUUAUCAAGGCCCCGUCUGUCUGCUAUUGGACAGGGAGGUCCCCGAGGGUGGAGCUGCCUUCUUUCACCAGCUGAAGUCCCACAGGCUCUGGGCCCGGUGCUUGGCGCAUGACUGGGGUGUAAGAAAUGUACGUUGAAUGAACAAAUAAGCCCAAGUAGACCUUCCUUGUCAUUUCCUCAGAAAAUCAAGAGUUAAUACUUUGAGGAUUUUUUGUUUUGGGUUUUGAUUAUUGGGUUUUUUUUUUCGUAUUUAUUUGUUGUUUUUAAGAAAACAACAUCCCAGAUUCCUAGAGAUUAGAAGAGCUUUUUAACAAAUUGAUUCACCACAUUCAUUCAACAAAUAUUUGUUGACUAUUUGUCAUGUAUCAAGUGCUGUUUUAGGUGCUGGAGAAACAAAACAGACCAAAAAAUCCUGCCUUUGAGAUGCUUGCAUUCUUUUGGUGGCAUUCUCUCUCAGGCCUCUGUGCUACAUUCCAAAUGACAUGUCCACAUUUGACACGGACAAGAAUGACAGAUGGAGAAAAAUCAUCUUUGACCCUUAAAAAUUGGCCAUGUUUUAUGAGGUAAGAGCUUGGGCACAAAAGGUAUUAUAGGAGAGAGCCCAGAAAUGGCUUGAAAUAUAUGUUACUUAUGUUUUAGCUUUUGGAAAUAAAAGCACCCUUCCCAAACUACUAGUUUAUCAAAGCAAUGAAAACAGCAUUUAAAAUUUUAAUUUUUCUUUUUUCAUCAAGACAUAACUUACAUAAAGUGCAGAAAUCUUAAGUGUACACCUUGAUAACUUUUUAAUUUUUACACUUGCACAUACCCAUGGGGCCACCACCCAUGGUUUACCCACCCACACCACCACGGAGCCACUUAGGAAAAGAAGGAAAGCACCUGCCCAUGACAAGCCCUCUGCUGCACACCUGGGUAUAUGAAUAAAAAUACAGUCCCUGCCUUAGGAGGACCCCAAAGUUUAUUGUGAGAGAUGAACUGAUAAUUAAAUAAAUCAUAAUAUAGUCAUGUUUUCCAUAUACAACAGUAAAGGAGUGUGAAAGUGCUGUGAAAUCCAAAGGGAGGAGUUGGUUCUUAUGGGAAGGAGGAAGCAUGAGGAUUGAGGAAGACUUCAUAGAACACUGGACUGGGAGUCAGGCUGUCAGUUUUGAAAUGGGGUUUGAAGGAUGAGUCAGAGUGUACUAUGCAGAAAUGCAUGAAAAGACAUUCCAGAUAGUAGGCACAGCUAAAAAAUGGCAUGGGGUAAGCACAAGUUCUGGGAAUGCUGAGUAGCUUAGUGUUACUACAGCAUAGGGUACUUUGGUGACAUGAUGGGAACUGGAGAAGCAGGUGGGGCCCAGAAUUCAGAAGGCCUUGGACACCAGCCUGAGGGGUUAGAUUUGCUCCUAACAAGCCAUGUACUCCCCGAAGGCUUUUGAGGACCUCUUCAGCUGUUAGAUUGGUUGGGCACUAUUCCUUGGUCCUCUGUCUCUAGAACUGAGCCACUGCUCUUCUUCCGGGUCCACUGUUUCUUCCGGGUCCUCUGAUCCCCUUGGCUCUACACAGCUCCUGAGGUUUGCCUCAGGUUUCGAGGCUUUGAAAACUGUCUGGAUUUGGCAUUGAGUGAUCUUUUUCAGAAAGGAUUUGGUAGUCUCCCUCUGGCCCCAUACACUGUAGGCAAAUGGCACUGAUGUUCUGGACUUGGGUCAGCUCAGUCUGUUCUCCCAAGGGAGGACUAGGUGUUCAGUCUUUUUUGAGUUCCAUGUUUAGUUCUUAAGGAUUUGCAAUCACCACUGAAUGAGUGUGAGCUUGUUAGUGGUCUUCCUGUUCAACCAGGGGGUUACUUAACCAGAUAAGGACAGAGCUGAGACCAAAACUCAGGUGUCCUGACUCCCAGUCCAGUGCUCUUUCUGGAGUGCUCGUUUCUGGCCUAGCUAGUUAUGGGACAGACCAAAUGUACUUGUCUACCUCACACCCACAGGGUCGUGAUUGAGAGCUGGGUCUAAGGGAAGGCCGUGUUCUCAGAAUCAAUUCUGUGUUGUAUCUCAAGCCAGACGGUAUGAUUUUAUGUCUUUUAAUACCUCCCUUUCUUCUUCUGUAAAUUGGGAGCAGCACCUACUUAAUCCUUCAGCUGCAGCUACAGCAGAGACUGGGGUGUGGUGGGGUCGUUUGUUUUGUGAUGGGUGAGGGAUGACGGAUCUUUGUUCAAGUCGUAGAAUCUUAGAGUUACAGCUGGAAGGAACAUCGGAGGUGAUCUGUGGUGACAGGCAACCUCUCGUGGCCGACUGAGUAUGGAACACUUCCUAGCGCCAGAGGCAGCUUCCUGUCUUUGGAAAUGUUCAAGCUGAGAAAGGAUGUUCAAGCUGAAGAGAUCCCGCUUUAACCGGCCUUUCUGCACAGAAGAGAUGACUGGAUGGGAGACUCCAUGGUUUCCGGCUUCUGCACACAUUUUCUCUAAUACCAGCUCAGCUCGUUUCUAUCUUGCUCCAAAACAGAAGGGAGUAGCUUCGCGGCUCUGUUUCCCGCCGCCUCGAGAGCGGAAAGGAGACCAGCCGAGACCGGAGGCGGCGCCCCUACCCGCCGGGCAGCGAGCCGGCCCCUCGGCUCCCGGAUGGGCCUGUGGGCGGGGCCUG